AUGCCUCUUGCGGCUUCUCCGGGAAGUUGCUUCCUAGGUUCUGAGCCCGCACCCGCGGAGAUGAACCCUUUAACUAAAGUGAAGCUGAUUAAUGAGCUGAAUGAGCGUGAGGUCCAACUGGGGGUGGCGGAGAAGGUGUCUUGGCACAACGAGUACAAGGACAGCGCUUGGAUCUUCCUGGGGGGACUUCCUUAUGAACUGACUGAAGGGGACAUCAUUUGUGUGUUCUCACAAUACGGGGAGAUUGUUAACAUUAAUCUGGUACGAGACAAGAAGACUGGGAAAUCCAAAGGAUUCUGUUUCCUCUGCUAUGAAGACCAGAGGAGCACAGUUCUGGCUGUUGACAAUUUUAAUGGGAUCAAGAUCAAAGGAAGAACUAUCCGAGUGGAUCAUGUAUCCAACUAUCGACUUCCUGAGGACUCAGAAGAAAUGGAUGAGGUGACCAGAGAGCUGCAGGAGAGGGGCUGUGGGACUCAUACUCCUCCACCAAGUUCAUCUGAGGGCUCUGAAGAUGACAAACCCACCAAAAAACACAAAAAAGACAAAAAGGAAAAAAAGAAAAAAAAGAAAGACAAAGAGAAGACUGGCCAGGAGGUGCAGGCAGAGCAGCCAGCCUCCUCUUCAUUGCCCAGAAGCAAGAUGAUAAAGGAAAAGGAUGACCCUGGCUCUAAAAAGAACAGUGCAAGCACUCAGAGAAGGCAGAGAAGGGUCAGAAGUCGGAGUCCAGGGAGGUGCGGAAGUCCCACCCCAGUUCCCCUGAGGUCAGGACGACCUGCCAUGGUGGAACGGAGGCCGAGAGAGGGAGCCAAGAAAGGAGAAGUCCAAGCACGAGCACAAGUCAUCAANNGAAUUCCAUAUUUUAUGUAGCAAAAUUGGUACACAGAAUUUGAUAGAUAUCUUAAGCAUACAGAAUUCCAGAUUGCAUGUGGGAAAUUGGCACCCAGGUUUUCCUAUGUGA